rnacentral:sRNA from 1 species
UCCAGAUAAGCCCCUACCGUGCGGCGGA